rnacentral:rRNA from 1 species
CUAAAGAGUUUAAAUACCCUAAAGUCACCAGGCCCUGUCUGAUCAUGGAAGCUGAGCAGGCUUAGGGCUGGUUAGUACUUGGAUGGGAGACCACCGAGGAAUAUCAGGUGCUGUAAGCU